rnacentral:rRNA from 1 species
AUAGGAUACCCUAAGGAAACUGUCGGGUAUACCUUCUACUUAAGAUCCGAAGGCAAGAUCUUUGUUGCCAAGAACGGAUGCUUUCUGGAAAAAGAGUUUCUCUCGAAAGAAGUAAGUGGGAGGAAAGUAGAACUCGAUGAAGUACUACCUCUUGAGCGGGAAAGUGGCGCAGCGCAGGAAACCGUUCCUGUGAUGCCCACACCAACUGAAGAGGAAAACAAUGAUGAUGAUCAAGGUACUUCGGAUCAAGUUACUGCUGAACUUCGUAGGUCCACCAGGACACGUUCCGCACCAGAGUGGUACGGCAACCCUGUCCUGGAAAUCAUGUUGUUAGACAACAAUGAACCUUCGAACUAUGAAGAAGCGAUGGCGGGCCCGGAUUCCAACAAAUGGCUUGAAGCCAUGAAAUCCAAGAUAGAAUCCAUGUAUGAAAACAAAGUAUGGACUUUGACAGACUUGCCCGAUGAUCGGCGAGCGAUAGAAAAC